rnacentral:rRNA from 1 species
AAGCGCCCCCGCCUGGGGAGUACGAUCGCAAGAUUAAAACUCAAAGGAAUUGACGGGGCCCCGCACAAGCAGCGGAGCAUGCGGCUUAAUUCGACGCAACGCGAAGAACCUUACCAAGGCUUGACAUAUACAGGAAUACGGCAGAGAUGUCGUAGCCGCAAGGUCUGUAUACAGGUGGUGCAUGGUUGUCGUCAGCUCGUGUCGUGAGAUGUUGGGUUAAGUCCCGCAACGAGCGCAACCCUCGUUCUGUGUUGCCAGCAUUUAGUUGGGGACUCACAGGAGACUGCCGGGGUUAACUCGGAGGAAGGUGGGGAUGACGCCAAAUCAUCAUGCCCCUUAUGUCUUGGGCUGCACGCAUGCUACAAUGGCUGGUACAAACGGCUGCAAUACCGCAAGGUGGAGCGAAUCCGAGAAAGCCAGUCUCAGUUCGGAUUGGGGUCUGCAACUCGACCCCAUGAAGUCGGAGUUGCUAGUAAUCGUAGAUCAGCAACGCUACGGUGAAUACGUUCCCGGGGCUUGUACACACCGCCCGUCACAUCACGAAAGUCGGUAACACCCAAAGUCAGUGGCCC